AAGUCAUCAUGGCCCUUAUGUCCUGGGCUACACACGUGCUACAAUGGCCGGUACAGAGCGACGAGCGAGGCCGCGAGGCGGAGCGAAUCGCUUAAAAGCCGGUCCCAGUACGGAUUGGAGUCUGCAACCCGACUCCAUGAAGUUGGAAUCGCUAGUAAUCGCGCAUACAGCAUGGCGCGGUGAAUACGUUCCCGGGCCUU
rnacentral:rRNA from 1 species